rnacentral:rRNA from 1 species
AGCCGGUACUCGCGAAUGCUCUAGAUUAGAGUUUGAUCAUGGCUCAGGACGAACGCUGGCGGCGUGCCUAAUACAUGCAAGUCGAGCGAACAGAAAAGGAGCUUGCUCCUUUGACGUUAGCGGCGGACGGGUGAGUAACACGUGGGCAACCUACCUUAUAGUUUGGGAUAACUCCGGGAAACCGGGGCUAAUACCGAAUAAUCUAUUUCACUUCAUGGUGAAAUACUGAAAGACGGUUUCGGCUGUCGCUAUAAGAUGGGCCCGCGGCGCAUUAGCUAGUUGGUGAGGUAACGGCUCACCAAGGCAACGAUGCGUAGCCGACCUGAGAGGGUGAUCGGCCACACUGGGACUAGAGACACGGCCAGACUCCUACGGGAGGCAGCAGUAGGGAAUCUUCCACAAUGGGCGAAAGCCUGAUGGAGCAACUGCCGCGUGAGUGAAUGAAGGUUUUCGGAUCGUAAAACU